CCCGGCGCUGCCCGGCCGGGGCAUGGAGCAAACCUGAGGGCCGCCCUGGGCAGGGGGUGCUGGGAAGGUGGAAUCCGCGGGGUUCUGCCGAGAGGAACGGCUCGUGUGUUAUGCCAUCAGAUCCAACUAGGAAAAGACGCAAAACCCUUUCUCACCAUGUGGGCUCUGAAGAAGCAGUGAGGGCCGCGUGGGACUGAGGACACUGGAGUCCCAUCAGCACAGGAACAGGAGAAAGGCACAGCAAGGUCACCUUCCAGCUCUGAGCUGGUGCAGAAGAUGGAGGAGCGGUGCAGAAGGCAGGUGGGACUGGAGACCCUGCAGACACCUAAGUAGAAGUGACCUGGAUGAAUAGCAUCAGAUGUGGACUGGGAAUCUGCCUCCCCAGCCAACCUGCUCUUGACUGCUUGUACUGCUGGAGCAUCUUCAAAGCCCAGCCAAGACUGGAACUGUGGACUGUGCAGGUCCGUCCUUCGCACCAACUAUAGCAGUUUAUCCCUGCAGCGGCUGCUGACGUCUUUCCAUGCAGAAUUAAUGGUCUUCAAUCCAGUCUUCAGGCUGCUGAGCUCCUCCUUUUGUACAGUCCUUUUUCAGAAGCACAUCUCUGAUUUAUGCAGCUUGACAAAAUCCUAAACCUGCAGUCUCCUUGUCCUCCUGUUAAAUGGCUUGCAUGCGUCUCCAUCCUCACCAUGCCUUCUCAGAGAGCACUGGUGUUGUGCAUCUCUCCAUCCCUCCGAGGUGCAUUUGGCCUUCCUUCUCUGCGAUUCCUCCCCUUCCCUUUUUCCUGACACAGACUCAAGUUUUAAAAAUCCAUUUUCCUUCUCUGAGCCACCAUUAUGCACAAAUACUUCUCUGCUCUUCUUCACAUGCCACCAAUUUCCUCCAGAACCUAUCACUCUCAUCUAGCUGCUUAACUGUGUAAUGAUAUGAAAUAUUCACUCUAAUGAGCCCCUGCUGUGGAUACCACUUGAUCCUGCCUUGUUUUUGUUCUUUUUGACUCCAACCUCACUGAAUGUUCGACUUUCCUUCUCCCAAAUUUCAAACUGCUUCCUGAAGCUACACCAUACGUGCAUAUGUACAGUUCAUACAACAUACGUCUUUUCUGCUGAUGUUUUCAGAAGGAACAAGGGCUAUCUUGAUGGGAAUUUUCAGCAAAUACCACGUGAUCAGUCUCGGACAGCUGCCAUGGAAACUUCAUCCUGAAGUUUUGCAAAGUAGAUGAAAAUAAAAUUUUGUAAUGAAAAAUGUCAGGGAACCUAAAUAGCAGACUGUUCCUUGGUGGUUAGUCCUUUGGCAAUUGGAAAGCACAGAGCUGCCAGCCCUUCAGCCUCAUGCACAGAAAUCAGCAUAUGUGGGACGAACAACCUGAUUAAAUGAAUACGAUUUAAGUUUUCAAGUAAAAGGGAAUCCAGAAGAACUACCCUAGUUGUGGCUUUAAAUACUGAACUUCUAAAUACUACCUCUGUUUUCUAUACCUUUGUGAUGCACCUACACAAACUAAUGGAAGGAUGAAAUGAUAGCACAGGGGCCUGGAGAUUGCUGCAUUCACGCUUUGUUUGCUUUGCUCAGGAUGGAAAGGCAGCAGGGUUGGGAAGAGCCAGCUACAGAGGAUGCUCUUCUGACAUGGUGGUUUGUUCGAUGGGCCUGAUCUAGAACUAUCUCGCAUAAUUAAGAUCUGAGAAAAGACAACCUUCUGUCCCUUCCCCAUAAAUCUGUGUUUGCAUUCAAAUGGUGAGUUGGAAUAUUGGAGUAAGUCUUCUUUUUUUCUUCUCCUUUGGGAUAUGAUAAAUUUUGCAAUUGCCAGAAUAAAUACAGAUUUAUC
rnacentral:lncRNA from 1 species